UACAGAGGGUGCGAGCGUUAAUCGGAAUCACUGGGCUUAAAGGGCGCGUAGGCGGGCUAUCAAGUCCGGGGUGAAAUCCUCCAGCUCAACUGGAGAACGGCCUCGGAUACUGAUGGUCUCGAGGAGGAUAGGGGCACACGGAACUGUGGGUGGAGCGGUGAAAUGCGUUGAUAUCCAUAGGAACUCCGGUGGCGAAAGCGGUGUGCUGGAUCCUUUCUGACGCUGAUGCGCGAAAGCCAGGGGAGCAAACGGG
rnacentral:rRNA from 1 species